GUUCGAUGCACAGGCGAACGUAAACAUUUUAUCGGGCAGUCCUCAUUACCAGGUGCUAUCGCUGAUACCCCUCCUUCUGAGUCCAUACGUUUAUUAUUAUACGUUUAUUAUCUCACUCAUCAUGCGUAACAGGAGUAAAUAUGUCCUCAAGAAUUAGAGGCCUGGUAAAGUGGUAUAAAGAAGACAAAGGUUUUGGUUUCAUCUCACCUCUUGACGGAGGCAAAGAUAUCUCUGUUCAUGUUUCGAAUCUUAAGGGGGAUAAUUUUAAAACCCUGUUUGAAGGACAGAAGGUCGAAUACACUAUUUACAAAAGUAAUAAAGGUCCCGCUGCUUCUAACGUCAU
rnacentral:sRNA from 1 species